ensembl:snRNA U6 U6 spliceosomal RNA
UUAAAAGAAAGUCAAAUAUACUAAAAUCUGAAGGAUACAGACAACAUUAGUGUGGUUCCUGUACAAGGACAAUGCGCAAAUUCGUGAAGAGUUCCAUAUUUUU